rnacentral:rRNA from 1 species
UUAAGUUAUUAAGGGCGCACGGUGGAUGCCUUGGCACUAGAAGCCGAUGAAGGACGUUACUAACGACGAUAUGCUUUGGGGAGCUGUAAGUAAGCUUUGAUCCAGAGAUUUCCGAAUGGGGAAACCCAGCAUGAGUUAUGUCAUGUUAUCGAUAUGUGAAUACAUAGCAUAUCAGAAGGCACACCCGGAGAACUGAAACAUCUUAGUACCCGGAGGAAGAGAAAGAAAAUUCGAUUCCCUUAGUAGCGGCGAGCGAAACGGGAAGAGCCCAAACCAACAAGCUUGCUUGUUGGGGUUGUAGGACACUCUAUACGGAGUUACAAAGGACGACAUUAGACGAAUCAUCUGGAAAGAUGAAUCAAAGAAGGUAAUAAUCCUGUAGUCGAAAAUGUUGUCUCUCUUGAGUGGAUCCUGAGUACGACGGAGCACGUGAAAUUCCGUCGGAAUCUGGGAGGACCAUCUCCUAAGGCUAAAUACUCUCUAGUGACCGAUAGUGAACCAGUACCGUGAGGGAAAGGUGAAAAGCACCCCGGAAGGGGAGUGAAAUAGAACCUGAAACCGUGUGCUUACAAGUAGUCAGAGCCCGUUAAUGGGUGAUGGCGUGCCUUUUGUAGAAUGAACCGGCGAGUUACGAUUUGAUGCAAGGUUAAGCAGUAAAUGUGGAGCCGUAGCGAAAGCGAGUCUGAAUAGGGCGUUUAGUAUUUGGUCGUAGACCCGAAACCAGGUGAUCUACCCUUGGUCAGGUUGAAGUUCAGGUAACACUGAAUGGAGGACCGAACCGACUUACGUUGAAAAGUGAGCGGAUGAACUGAGGGUAGCGGAGAAAUUCCAAUCGAACCUGGAGAUAGCUGGUUCUCUCCGAAAUAGCUUUAGGGCUAGCCUCAAGUGAUGAUUAUUGGAGGUAGAGCACUGUUUGGACGAGGGGCCCCUCUCGGGUUACCGAAUUCAGACAAACUCCGAAUGCCAAUUAAUUUAACUUGGGAGUCAGAACAUGGGUGAUAAGGUCCGUGUUCGAAAGGGAAACAGCCCAGACCACCAGCUAAGGUCCCAAAAUAUAUGUUAAGUGGAAAAGGAUGUGGCGUUGCCCAGACAACUAGGAUGUUGGCUUAGAAGCAGCCAUCAUUUAAAGAGUGCGUAAUAGCUCACUAGUCGAGUGACACUGCGCCGAAAAUGUACCGGGGCUAAACAUAUUACCGAAGCUGUGGAUUGUCCUUUGGACAAUGGUAGGAGAGCGUUCUAAGGGCGUUGAAGCAUGAUCGUAAGGACAUGUGGAGCGCUUAGAAGUGAGAAUGCCGGUGUGAGUAGCGAAAGACGGGUGAGAAUCCCGUCCACCGAUUGACUAAGGUUUCCAGAGGAAGGCUCGUCCGCUCUGGGUUAGUCGGGUCCUAAGCUGAGGCCGACAGGCGUAGGCGAUGGAUAACAGGUUGAUAUUCCUGUACCACCUAUAAUCGUUUUAAUCGAUGGGGGGACGCAGUAGGAUAGGCGAAGCGUGCGAUUGGAUUGCACGUCUAAGCAGUAAGGCUGAGUAUUAGGCAAAUCCGGUACUCNNNNNNNNNNNNNNNNNNNNNNNNNNNNNNNNNNNNNNNNNGUCUUCGAGUCGUUGAUUUCACACUGCCGAGAAAAGCCUCUAGAUAGAAAAUAGGUGCCCGUACCGCAAACCGACACAGGUAGUCAAGAUGAGAAUUCUAAGGUGAGCGAGCGAACUCUCGUUAAGGAACUCGGCAAAAUGACCCCGUAACUUCGGGAGAAGGGGUGCUCUUUAGGGUUAACGCCCAGAAGAGCCGCAGUGAAUAGGCCCAAGCGACUGUUUAUCAAAAACACAGGUCUCUGCUAAACCGUAAGGUGAUGUAUAGGGGCUGACGCCUGCCCGGUGCUGGAAGGUUAAGAGGAGUGGUUAGCUUCUGCGAAGCUACGAAUCGAAGCCCCAGUAAACGGCGGCCGUAACUAUAACGGUCCUAAGGUAGCGAAAUUCCUUGUCGGGUAAGUUCCGACCCGCACGAAAGGCGUAACGAUUUGGGCACUGUCUCAACGAGAGACUCGGUGAAAUCAUAGUACCUGUGAAGAUGCAGGUUACCCGCGACAGGACGGAAAGACCCCGUGGAGCUUUACUGUAGCCUGAUAUUGAAAUUCGGCACAGCUUGUACAGGAUAGGUAGGAGCCUUUGAAACGUGAGCGCUAGCUUACGUGGAGGCGCUGGUGGGAUACUACCCUAGCUGUGUUGGCUUUCUAACCCGCACCACUUAUCGUGGUGGGAGACAGUGUCAGGCGGGCAGUUUGACUGGGGCGGUCGCCUCCUAAAAGGUAACGGAGGCGCUCAAAGGUUCCCUCAGAAUGGUUGGAAAUCAUUCAUAGAGUGUAAAGGCAUAAGGGAGCUUGACUGCGAGACCUACAAGUCGAGCAGGGUCGAAAGACGGACUUAGUGAUCCGGUGGUUCCGCAUGGAAGGGCCAUCGCUCAACGGAUAAAAGCUACCCCGGGGAUAACAGGCUUAUCUCCCCCAAGAGUUCACAUCGACGGGGAGGUUUGGCACCUCGAUGUCGGCUCAUCGCAUCCUGGGGCUGUAGUCGGUCCCAAGGGUUGGGCUGUUCGCCCAUUAAAGCGGUACGCGAGCUGGGUUCAGAACGUCGUGAGACAGUUCGGUCCCUAUCCGUCGUGGGCGUAGGAAAUUUGAGAGGAGCUGUCCUUAGUACGAGAGGACCGGGAUGGACAUACCUCUGGUGUACCAGUUGUCGUGCCAACGGCAUAGCUGGGUAGCUAUGUGUGGACGGGAUAAGUGCUGAAAGCAUCUAAGCAUGAAGCCCCCCUCAAGAUGAGAUUUCCCAACUUCGGUUAUAAGAUCCCUCAAAGAUGAUGAGGUUAAUAGGUUCGAGGUGGAAGCAUGGUGACAUGUGGAGCUGACGAAUACUAAUCGAUCGAAGACUUAAUCAA